ensembl:snoRNA SNORD116 Small nucleolar RNA SNORD116
GGAUGGCUGAUGAUGGUAAACAGCUCCUUGAGCAAACAUACUUUUGGAAAGCUGAACAAAGAGUGAAAAAACUAUACUGUCAUUCUCAUUGAACUGAGGUCC